rnacentral:rRNA from 1 species
GCGGAGAAAGAGAAGCUUGCUUUUCUUUCUUAGCGGCGGACGGGUGAGUAACGCGUGAGCAACCUGCCUAUAUCUGGGGAAUAACAGUUGGAAACGACUGCUAAUACCGCAUAAGACCACAGUAGGGCAUCCUACAGGGGUAAAAGAUUUAUCGGAUAUAGAUGGGCUCGCGUACCAUUAGAUAGUUGGUAGUGUAACGGACUACCAAGUCGACGAUGGUUAGCCGACCUGAGAGGGUGAUCGGCCACAUUGGAACUGAGAUACGGUCCAGACUCCUACGGGAGGCAGCAGUAGGGAAUAUUGGGCAAUGGAGGCAACUCUGACCCAGCAACACCGCGUGAAUGAUGAAGGUCUUCGGAUUGUAAAGUUCUGUGAUGGGGGACGAAGAAAGUGACGGUACCCCAAUAGCAAGCUCCGGCUAACUACGUGCCAGCAGCCGCGGUAAUACGUAGGGAGCAAGCGUUGUCCGGAAUGACUGGGCGUAAAGGGUACGUAGGUGGCUAUUCAAGUUAGUUGUGAAAUUCCGAGGCUCAACUUCGGCGCUACAAUUAAGACUGUUUAGCUUGAGUGCAGGAGGGGUAAGUGGAAUUCCUAGUGUAGCGGUGGAAUGCGUAGAUAUUAGGAGGAACACCAGUGGCGAAGGCGACUUACUGGACUGUAAC